GCUGAUAUAGCUCAGUUUUGGUUAGAGCACUUUCAUGGUAAGAAAGAGGUCCCUAGUUCAAAUCUAGGUAUCAGCA
rnacentral:tRNA from 1 species